rnacentral:lncRNA from 1 species
GGGAGUUUAGGAAAAAAACCUGGUAAGUGACAAACCCUGAUGAUUAUUUUUUCAAUGUUUUUAAUGUAAUUGAUAGUUGCUCCCAAUCUUUUAUUAGGGCUAGAAACCUUUUUGGAAAAAAAAAAAGAAAGAAAAGUAAAGACUAAAGAAUCUGUCCUAAGAGUGGUUGGAAUAGAUCCUUUCCUUGGAAUCCAUUAAUAAUGUGUAUCCAUGAUUAUGAAAUAAUGGCUGUUGCUUCACACAUGGGGUAUUAGGGACAUUUAUCAGACAGAAUGUUCUCUUGGGAUGUGAAGAAAUAAUUCAGGCAAGAUGGUGAGACGUUGUCACGCUUGAAACUGUAGGGUUUGGGGUCAGCUGCUACUUCAUCCUUCUCUCAUUGGGUUCAGUACUUUUUCCUUUCCUGAAGCAUAUUCAGUCCCAGGAUGUAAAUAGUGGAGGAGAUUAGAGGAGCCGCACGUAUUAUCAGACAGUGGGGCCUAUGAAUUAGAAGCUUUUGAGUAGUUUUCCUCAGGUACACAGUGAAGGCACAAAAUUAUAGUCAUCCCCCUGAACUCAAAAGUGUUUCACUUUAUUUAAACAAAAAUCACAUGUUCUAUUAAUAGAAACAUGAACAAGAGAAGAAAGAAGCAGCUGGGAAAUCAUACGGUUGGUAUGGCCUGUCUUCCUCACCUAGGUCAUUUGAGCCCUUUUGCUAUUACAGCCUUGAGAAAUUACAGGUUGAGAGUCACCACAGCACUGAGAGAGGGACUUGUGUAUCUGUGCCUGGCGCUCAGCCUCCAGACAGGCUCACCUGACAAGGAAAAGUGGGUUUUUCGGUAGUUGUAGGAUUUCAGACUGACUCAAGAUAUCAGACCACCCCAGUCAAAUCUCUAUUUUAACCCUGAGUAUGCUAUGG